UACGGGGGGGGCAAGCGUUGUUCGGAAUUACUGGGCGUAAAGGGCUCGUAGGCGGCCAACUAAGUCAGACGUGAAAUCCCUCGGCUUAACCGGGGAACUGCGUCUGAUACUGGAUGGCUUGAGUUUGGGAGAGGGAUGCGGAAUUCCAGGUGUAGCGGUGAAAUGCGUAGAUAUCUGGAGGAACACCGGUGGCGAAGGCGGGUCUCUGGGCCGUAACUGACGCUGAGGAGCGAAAGCAUGGGGAGCGAACAGG
rnacentral:rRNA from 1 species